UACGGAGGGUGCGAGCGUUGUCCGGAAUCACUGGGCGUAAAGGGCGCGUAGGCGGCCUGAUAAGUAGGGGGUGAAAUCCUGCGGCUUAACCGCAGGGCUGCCUUCUAAACUGUCAGGCUAGAGCACAGUAGAGGCAGGUGGAAUUCCCGGUGUAGCGGUGGAAUGCGUAGAGAUCGGGAAGAACAUCAGUGGCGAAGGCGGCUCACUGGCCCGGUACUGACGCUGAGGCGCGAAAGCGUGGGGAGCAAACAGG
rnacentral:rRNA from 1 species